UGCUGGAGAGUUUGAUGGUGGCUCAGGGCGAACGCUGGCGGCGUGGAUAAGGCAUGCAAGUCGAGCGCAGGCUUGCCUGUGGGUUUUGCUCACAGGUAGGCGCUGAGCGGCGAACGGGCGAGUAACGCGUGCCUAACCUACCCUGAGGACUGGGAUAACCUUGGGAAACUGGGGUUAAUACCAGAUACGCUCCCUCGUCGCAUGGCGGGGGAGGAAAGGUGCUUGUUCCGAAAGGGCGGGUGCCGCCUCAGGAUGGGGGCGCGUCCCAUCAGGUAGUUGGUGGGAUAACAGCCUACCAAGCCUAUGACGGGUAGCCGGCCUGAGAGGGUGGCCGGCCGCAUCGGGACUGAGACACGGCCCGAACCCCUACGGGGGGCAGCAGCCGAGGAUCUUGGGCAAUGCCCGAAAGGGUGACCCAGUGACGCCGCGUGGGGGAAGAAGCCCUUCGGGGUGUAAACCCCUGUUGGCGAGGGAAGAAAUUGCCCCUUCGGGGGCAAUUGACGGUACCUCGCAAGAAAGCCCCGGCUAACUCCGUGCCAGCAGCCGCGGUAAAACGGAGGGGGCAAGCGUUGCCCGGAUUUACUGGGCUUAAAGGGUCCGUAGGUGGUGUCCUAAGUCCUCCGUGAAAGCUGCCCGCUCAACGGGCAGAGGUCGGGGGAGACUGGGACACUUGAGGGCGGACGAGGCCGGCGGAACGGCGGGUGUAGCGGUGAAAUGCGUCGAUAUCCGCCGGAACACCAGUGGCGAAGGCGGCCGGCUGGGACGCCCCUGACGC
rnacentral:rRNA from 1 species